rnacentral:rRNA from 1 species
UACGUAGGGUGCAAGCGUUGUCCGGAAUUAUUGGGCGUAAAGAGCUCGUAGGCGGUUUGUCGCGUCUGCUGUGAAAACCCGGGGCUUAACCCCUGGCUUGCAGUGGAUACGGACAGACUAGAGGUAGGUAGGGGAGAAUGGAAUUCCCGGUGUAGCGGUGAAAUGCGCAGAUAUCGGGAGGAACACCGGUGGCGAAGGCGGCGACCUGGGACGAUACUGACGCUGAGGUGCGAAAGCGUGGGGAGCAAACAGG